rnacentral:rRNA from 1 species
CAUAGAUGUCGACUUGGAGGUUGUGCCCUUGAGGCGUGGCUUCCGGAGCUAACGCGUUAAGUCGACCGCCUGGGGAGUACGGCCGCAAGGUUAAAACUCAAAUGAAUUGACGGGGGCCCGCACAAGCGGUGGAGCAUGUGGUUUAAUUCGAUGCAACGCGAAGAACCUUACCUGGUCUUGACAUCCACGGAAGUUUUCAGAGAUGAGAAUGUGCCUUCGGGAACCGUGAGACAGGUGCUGCAUGGCUGUCGUCAGCUCGUGUUGUGAAAUGUUGGGUUAAGUCCCGCAACGAGCGCAACCCUUAUCCUUUGUUGCCAGCGGUCCGGCCGGGAACUCAAAGGAGACUGCCAGUGAUAAACUGGAGGAAGGUGGGGAUGACGUCAAGUCAUCAUGGCCCUUACGACCAGGGCUACACACGUGCUACAAUGGCGCAUACAAAGAGAAGCGACCUCGCGAGAGCAAGCGGACCUCAUAAAGUGCGUCGUAGUCCGGAUUGGAGUCUGCAACUCGACUCCAUGAAGUCGGAAUCGCUAGUAAUCGUGGAUCAGAAUGCCACGGUGAAUACGUUCCCGGGCCUUGUACACACCGCCCGUCACACCAUGGGAGUGGGUUGCAAAAGAAGUAGGUAGCUUAACCUUCGGGAGGGCGCUUACCACUUUGUGAUUCAUGACUGGGGUGAAGUCGUAACAAGGUAACCGUAGAGUUUGAUC